CUAGUCAGUGUUCUACUGCAUCGGUUCAAAAGUUUUGCCAAUCAUAGAGAACUUGAAUCUCCUUAAAGAGAGCGAGAUUUUUGUGCCUCGGCUUGAUUGGCUCGUCGAUACUUUUUAUAUUAUUUUGUAGUCUAACAUUUAUUCUUGAAUAUUUACACCAACACUAAUUAUCAACUUCUAAAAAGUUACAUCAUAAUUUUACUAAAAGCAUCAAAAUGCCACAACAUAAUUUUACUAACAUCAUAAA
rnacentral:lncRNA from 1 species